rnacentral:rRNA from 1 species
CCUACGGGAGGUAGCAGUGGGGAAUAUUGCGCAAUGGGCGAAAGCCUGACGCAGCGACGCCGCGUGAGGGAUGAAGGUCUUCGGAUCGUAAACCUCUGUCAACAGGGAAGAACGGUCACUGUGCUAAUCAGCAGUGAAUUGACGGUACCUGCAAAGGAAGCACCGGCUAACUCCGUGCCAGCAGCAGCGGUAAUACGGAGGGUGCGAGCGUUAAUCGGAAUUACUGGGGGUAAAGCGCUCGUAGGCGGUAUGUCAAGGCAAGGGGGAAAUCCCCGCGCUCAACGUGGGAACUGCAUUUGAAACUGGCAAACUGGAGUGUGUGAGAGGAUAGUGGAAUUCCAGGUGUAGGAGUGAAAUCCGUAGAUAUCUGGAGGAACAUCAGUGGCGAAGGCGACUAUCUGGCACAUAACUGACGCUGAGGAGCGAAAGCGUGGGUAGCAAACAGGAUUAGAUACCCCUGUAGUC